rnacentral:rRNA from 1 species
UACAGAGGGUGCAAGCGUUGUUCGGAAUUAUUGGGCGUAAAGAGCUCGUAGGCGGUUGAGUAAGUCGGGUGUGAAAACUCUGGGCUUAACCCAGAGCCGCCACCCGAUACUGCUCUGACUUGAGUUCGGUAGGGGAGCAGGGAAUUCCUAGUGUAGCGGUGAAAUGCGCAGAUAUUAGGAGGAACACCGGUGGCGAAGGCGCUGCUCUGGGCCGAUACUGACGCUGAGGAGCGAAAGCGUGGGUAGCAAACAGG